AAAGCCUUAGCUUAAUUAAAGCACCUGUUUUGCAUACAGGAGAUGUGAGCUAGAAUCUCGCAGGUUUUA
rnacentral:tRNA from 1 species